rnacentral:rRNA from 1 species
AUUGAACGCUGGCGGCAGGCCUAACACAUGCAAGUCGAGCGGAGCGGCGGACGGGUGAGUAAUGCCUAGGAAUCUGCCUGGUAGUGGGGGAUAACGUCCGGAAACGGGCGCUAAUACCGCAUACUAUCAGAUGAGGCUAGGUGGGCUUAGCUAGUUGGUGGGGUAAAGGCCUACCAAGGCGACGAGCCGUAACUGGUCUGAGAGUAUGAUCAGUCACACUGGAACGGAGACACGGUCCAGACUCCUAAGGGUGGCACCAGUGGGGAAUAUUGGACAAGGGGCGAAAGCCUGUACCAGCCAUGCCGCGGGUGUGAAGAAGGUCUUCGGAUUGUAAAGCACUUUAAGUUGGGAGGCGUUACCAACAGAAUAAGCACCGGCUAACUUCGUGCCAGCCGCCGCGGUAAUAC